AACUCAAAGGAAUUGACGGACCCGCAUAAGCGGUGGAUCAUGUUGUUUAAUUCGAUGAUACGCGAAGAACCUUACCAGGUCUUGACAUCCCCCGCGAUGCUUUAGAGAUAAAGCGGAGGUAUUCGGGGAGACAGGUGGUGCAUGGUUGUCGUCAGCUCGUGUCGUGAGAUGUUGGGUUAAGUCCCGUAACGAGCGCAACCCUUGUCCUUAGUUACCAGCACGUUAUGGUGGGCACUCUAAGGAGACUGCCGGUGACAAACCGGAGGAAGGUGGGGAUGACGUCAAGUCAUCAUGGCCCUUACGGCCUGGGCUACACACGUGCUACAAUGGUCGGUACAAAGGGUUGCCAAGCCGCGAGGUGGAGCUAAUCCCAUAAAACCGAUCGUAGUCCGGAUCGCAGUCUGCAACUCGACUGCGUGAAGUCGGAAUCGCUAGUAAUCGUGAAUCAGCCAUGGCGCGGUGAAUACGUUCCCGGGCCUU
rnacentral:rRNA from 1 species